rnacentral:rRNA from 1 species
UACGAAGGGGGCGAGCGUUGUUCGGAUUUACUGGGCGUAAAGGGCGCGUAGGCGGCCUUGUCAGUCAGGCGUGAAAGCCCCGGGCUCAACCUGGGAACGGCGCUUGGGACGGCGAGGCUGGAGUUCGGGAGAGGAGAGUGGAAUUCCCAGUGUAGAGGUGAAAUUCGUAGAUAUUGGGAAGAACACCGGUGGCGAAGGCGGCUCUCUGGACCGACGCUGACGCUGAGGCGCGAAAGCGUGGGGAGCAAACAGG